CACGGUGACCUAACCGAAAGGGAGGAGCCGUCGAAGGUGGGACCGAUAACUGGGCUGAAGUCGUAACAAGGUAGCCG
rnacentral:rRNA from 1 species